rnacentral:tmRNA from 1 species
GGGGACGCGUGGGUUCGACAGAGGGCUUUCUCCGCAGGAUUGCAGGUCGAGGCGCCAUCACACCUCGUAAAAAGGUGGCAAAACAUUAAUUGGCAACUCACAAGAGUACGCCCUAGCCGCUUAAUUUAGGCGACUACAUCCAUAGUCUUUUCUCCUCGAGGGAGACCAAUGGGUGAUAUAACAUCGAGGUGCGGCCCGAUUGACGCCGAUAUUGAGGGCCCAAGAUUUAUCGGCUGUGGGCAUGCAGUUGCUCCCCGCUGGAAGGUGCUGCAGGCUCAAGAACAAAAUUCCGGCUAAGCCUGUAGUAUAUUCGCGUGAGUCGUUUUCUGGACGGGGAGUUCGACCCUCCCCCGUCUCCACCA